GAUGAACGCUGGCGGCGUGCCUAAUACAUGCAAGUCGAGCGAACGGACGAGAAGCUUGCUUUUCUGAUGUUAGCGGCGGACGGGUGAGUAACACGUGGAUAACCUACCUAUAAGACUGGGAUAACUUCGGGAAACCGGAGCUAAUACCGGAUAAUAUUUUGAACCGCAUGGUUCAAAAGUGAAAGACGGUCUUGCUGUCACUUAUAGAUGGAUCCGCGCUGCAUUAGCUAGUUGGUAAGGUAACGGCUUACCAAGGCAACGAUGCAUAGCCGACCUGAGAGGGUGAUCGGCCACACUGGAACUGAGACACGGUCCAGACUCCUACGGGAGGCAGCAGUAGGGAAUCUUCCGCAAUGGGCGAAAGCCUGACGGAGCAACGCCGCGUGAGUGAUGAAGGUCUUCGGAUCGUAAGACUCUGUUAUUAGGGAAGAACAUAUGUGUAAGUAACUGUGCACAUCCUGACGGUACCUAAUCAGAAAGCCACGGCUAACUACGUG
rnacentral:rRNA from 1 species